rnacentral:rRNA from 1 species
GUAGGGAAUCUUCCACAAUGGGCGAAACGCCUGAUGGAGCAACGCCGCGUGUGUGAUGAAGGGUUUCGGCUCGUAAACACUGUUGUAAGAGAAGAAUGACAUUGAGAGUAACUGUUCAAUGUGUGACGGUAUCUUACCAGAAAGGAACGGCUAAAUACGUGCCAG